GGGGUUGAUUUGUCAGGGGCUGCUGCAUCCUUCCUAUUCAAAAGAUAGAUGAACAUGUUCAAAGGGGAAUCAUGAACCACAGAUCACUGCAUCCGAAUAUAGUUUGAUUCAAAGAGGCAAAGUUUUUCUUCCAGCAGUUGAUAUCAGGAGUUAGUUGCUGUCAUUUGAUGGUAUGUAAUGUGGCACUUUUCUGCUAAUGCGUUGUAUACUGUUAUUUAUUUCUCUUUUGAUAUUGGAAGUGUUGGUUGUAGUAAGGAAAUAAUUCGUUUCAAUAGUAUACGACUUCGGUUUAAUAGUAUAUGACUCAGUUUUUGAAUAGCACUCAGGUGGUAUUACGACUUAGUUUUCUAAAUGCCAAUAACAGCUCUAGAUUUUGUCUCAAGUCAAGUAUUCUUACUAAUGUAGCAUUUUGUUGGCACAUCAGUAUGUUUUGAUUGUUUCUCUGCUUGAAUAGAGAAUUGUUAACGUC